AAAUAGCAGCGCCCAAGAUGGAGACCCGUUGUUCAUGUCUCGACGCCUUUAACUCCGUUAUACACCCCUCUCGUUUAGCUAUAUGAAUUAACCGAGACAAUACUUUGGCAUAGAGCAGGAAUAGGUACGGGUAUAAAGGGAAGUCCUAGCAUAGACAUCUAAACAGAACAACUAGGCCCUGGGGCUUUCGGUUCGGUUAACAGAAAAGGCAAAACUAGCAAUAAAAAUGCAAGAGUGUGAAAGUCUUACUCAAUGCUGAGGAAGCCUAUCUUCUCCAUAACUUACGUCUGAAAAUGUCCACUCAAUUCGGUCAUAAGCCAUACUUAUGUCAAGUUUCAAGGCCAAGAACCCUUUUGGACCAUUACAUCGCCUAGACAUAGAGUGGAGGAGUUUAAAAGCCACAGCUACGUUGUCAGCGAUCAGCCUACGUGGUACAAAAGCAUUCUGGUUAUAUGAGAUGAAUGAGGGAAGAACAAGUUUGAGCCGGCUUGCUGGGGUCCUGGUAAUGAUUUAUACAAGAGAUUGCAUAGACUGAUUGGCGUGAAAUCAGCCAUGGUCUCAUUAUCUGACUUCUUCUGGAUAAGAACCACAUUAGUGUCACUUAUAGAUGCCAGAAACCGGCCAUUACUCAAUAUAUCCAGGCAAAGAAGUGAAAUGGAACCUUCAAAUAAAUUCUAAUGCCAUUUGAAGAAACUAGAGUGGAACUGUCUUAACGCUUUAGAAGGCCC
rnacentral:lncRNA from 1 species